UACGUAGGGUGCGAGCGUUGUCCGGAAUUAUUGGGCGUAAAGGGCUCGUAGGCGGUUUGUCGCGUCGGGAGUGAAAUCCACUGGCUUAACUGGUGGCUUGCUUUCGAUACGGGCAGACUGGAGGUAUGCAGGGGAGAACGGAAUUCCUGGUGUAGCGGUGAAAUGCGUAGAGAUCCGGCGGAACACCGGUGGUGAAGACGGUCUCCUGGGCCGAGGGCCGACGCUGAGGCGCGAGAGCGUGGGGAGCGAACCGG
rnacentral:rRNA from 1 species